GAUGAACGCUAGCGGGAGGCCUAACACAUGCAAGCCGAGCGGUAUUGUUUCUUCGGAAAUGAGAGAGCGGCGUACGGGUGCGUAACACGUGUGCAACCUGCCUUUAUCUGGGGGAUAGCCUUUCGAAAGGAAGAUUAAUACUCCAUAAUAUAUUGAACGGCAUCGUUUAAUAUUGAAAGCUCCGGCGGAUAGAGAUGGGCACGCGCAAGAUUAGCUAGUUGGUGAGGUAACGGCUCACCAAGGCGAUGAUCUUUAGGGGGCCUGAGAGGGUGAUCCCCCACACUGGAACUGAGACACGGACCAGACUCCGACGGGAGGCAGCAGUGAGGAAUAUUGGUCAAUGGGUGCAAGCCUGAACCAGCCAUCCCGCGUGAAGGGCGACUGCCCUAUGGGUUGUAAACUUCUUUUGUAUAGGGAUAAACCUACCCUCGUGAGGGUAGCUGAAGGUACUAUACGAAUAAGCACCGGCUAACUCCGUGCCAGCCGCCGCCGUAA
rnacentral:rRNA from 1 species